rnacentral:rRNA from 1 species
AGUGAACGCUGGCGGUAGGCCUAACACAUGCAAGUCGAACGGCAGCACAGUAAGAGCUUGCUCUUACGGGUGGCGAGUGGUGGACGGGUGAGGAAUACAUCGGAAUCUACUUUUUCGUGGGGGAUAACGUAGGGAAACUUACGCUAAUACCGCAUACGACCUACGGGUGAAAGCAGGGGAUCUUCGGACCUUGCGCGAUUGAAUGAGCCGAUGUCGGUUUAGCUAGUUGGCGGGGUAAAGGCCCACCAAGGCGACGAUCCGUAGCUGGUCUGAGAGGAUGAUCAGCCACACUGGAACUGAGACACGGUCCAGACUCCUACGGGAGGCAGCAGUGGGGAAUAUUGGACAAUGGGCGCAAGCCUGAUCCAGCCAUACCGCGUGGGUGAAGAAGGCCUUCGGGUUGUAAAGCCCUUUUGUUGGGAAAGAAAAGCAGCAGGUUAAUACCCCGCUGUUCUGACGGUACCCAAAGAAUAAGCACCGGCUAACUUCGUG